rnacentral:rRNA from 1 species
GUGGGGAAUUUUAGACAAUGGGCGCAAGCCUGAUCCAGCAAUGCCGCGUGCAGGAAGAAGGCCUUCGGGUUGUAAACUGCUUUUGUACGGAACGAAAAGGCUCUGGUUAAUACCUGGGGCUCAUGACGGUACCGUAAGAAUAAGCACCGGCUAACUACGUGCCAGCAGCCGCGGUAAUACGUAGGGUGCAAGCGUUAAUCGGAAUUACUGGGCGUAAAGCGUGCGCAGGCGGUUUUGUAAGACAGGCGUGAAAUCCCCGGGCUCAACCUGGGAAUGGCGCUUGUGACUGCAAGGCUGGAGUGCGGCAGAGGGGGAUGGAAUUCCGCGUGUAGCAGUGAAAUGCGUAGAUAUGCGGAGGAACACCGAUGGCGAAGGCAAUCCCCUGGGCCUGCACUGACGCUCAUGCACGAAAGCGUGGGGAGCAAACAGGAUUAGAUACCCCAGUAGUCC